rnacentral:rRNA from 1 species
ACGGGAGGCAGCAGUGGGGAGUAUUGGGCAAUGGGCGAAAGCCUGACCCAGCAACGCCGCGUGAAGGAAGAAGGUCUUCGGAUUGUAAACUUCUUUUAUAAGGGACGAAGAAAGUGACGGUACCUUAUGAAUAAGCCACGGCUAACUACGUGCCAGCAGCCGCGGUAAUACGUAGGUGGCAAGCGUUGUCCGGAAUUACUGGGUGUAAAGGGCGCGUAGGCGGGACUGCAAGUCAGAUGUGAAAUCCACGGGCUUAACCCGUGAACUGCAUUUGAAACUGUAGUUCUUGAGUAUCGGAGAGGCAAGCGGAAUUCCUAGUGUAGCGGUGAAAUGCGUAGAUAUUAGGAGGGACACCAGUGGCGAAGGCGGCUUGCUGGACGGUAACUGACGUUGAGGCUCGAAAGCGUGGGGAGCAAACAGGAUUAGAUACCCUGGUA